GCAAAGAACAGUACCCCGGCUUGAUUUCGGGGUGAAGUGGAUUUUUUUUUUUAAUUUCAACAUGAAAAUGAGAAUUCAAUGGCGAAUGACUUAUUCCAACCAAUAACCAUCAUCAAUUGACUUUAUAAGUAAGAAACAGUUUCUGAAAUUUACACCCAUGAAGUGAAUGGUGAUUUCAUAGAGCCCCUUUUUUUAGGUUCCAAGCUACAAAAAUUUGAGUCACUGAAAAUGGUCCCCAUAUAUGGUAAAUUUGAUUUUGUUGUUGAUGGAGUGCAACUGUGUCGAAAGAUAUCAGCAUAUUCAAUCUUACGUACUACUAUGUUCCGCAGUUGGUAACAUAUCUACUAGAUAUAGAGCAUAAUAUUGAAAGAAACUCUAAGAAUUUUGAAUCAGAGUACUAAAUGAGCUCAAGAAUUGUGAUAGCUUUUGGGGGAUCUUCCAGAAAGAAUAGAUCCUGCUAGUGACCAGUCUUCAUCGAGGACUUCAUACUUAAGUGUGUGGCAUGCGUUCACUUACAUGAUCAACAGGAGACAAGACAAAGAUAGUUUGAUGAACGUUGAAGGGUAACCGAGAGUGCUGUCUCAGCUCUGAGGGUUGUUCCUACGGCUACAGCAGAAAGGUAAGUCAUAAUAAUUAUUUUUUCGAAUCACAGAUUACAGAAAAAGGUUUAAGUGGGGUAACUCGCUCACUAAAGCGAAGCAUCAAUUGGCGCUGUUGUGGUAGCGGAAGAGAUCCGGAACUAAAUUAUCGGAAACUGUUUUGUAGGGAUUUUGUGUUCUUGAUGGGCAUUGUAAAUUUUGCGAAAUUCAAGUUCAACAUAAAUUUUUAGCAUCAUUUACACGAAGAAUUUUGACACGACAAUGAUUGUACUGCAAAUCCCAUUUUAUGAACCUAUUUGUGAACCAUUUAAUGAGUUGUGAGUGGGAUACUAUGAAAACGUGACAUUUUAUGUAUAUUAGCCAUUUUAUAGUAAAUGGUAUAAAGUGAUCUGAAGAAA